rnacentral:rRNA from 1 species
AAUGGGGGAAACCCUGAUGCAGCAACGCCGCGUGAGCGAUGAAGGCCUUCGGGUUGUAAAGCUCUGUCUUCGCUGACGAUAAUGACGGUAAGCGAGGAGGAAGCCACGGCUAACUACGUGCCAGCAGCCGCGGUAAUACGUAGGUGGCAAGCGUUGUCCGGAAUUACUGGGCGUAAAGGAUGCGUAGGCGGCCUCUUAAGUGGGAUGUGAAAUGCCGGGGCUUAACCCCGGAGGUGCAUUCCAUACUGGGAGGCUAGAGUGCAGGAGAGGAAAGCGGAAUUCCCAGUGUAGCGGUGAAAUGCGUAGAGAUUGGGAGGAACACCAGUGGCGAAGGCGGCUUUCUGGACUGUAACUGACGCUGAGGCAUGAAAGUGUGGGGAGCAAA